ACGACUAUAUUACAUUGAAACCUUUCUCGUACGAUCACUGAAGUUAAGCAAGGUUGGGCCUGGUCAGUACUUAGAUGGCUGCUUGCGAAUACCAGGUGCUGUCAU